UACGUAGGGGGCAAGCGUUGUCCGGAUUUACUGGGUGUAAAGGGCGUGUAGCCGGGCUGACAAGUCAGAUGUGAAAUUCCGGGGCUCAACCCCGGACCUGCAUUUGAAACUGUUGGUCUUGAGUAUCGGAGAGGCAGGCGGAAUUCCUAGUGCAGCGGUGAAAUGCGUAGAUAUUAGGAGGAACACCAGUGGCGAAGGCGGCCUGCUGGACGACAACUGACGGUGAGGCGCGAAAGCGUGGGGAGCAAACAGG
rnacentral:rRNA from 1 species